CUGACGCUGCUAAUAAAGACACACCCAACACUGGGUAAUUUAUAUAGGAAACAGGUUUAAUUGACUCACAGUUCCACACGGCUGGGGAGGCCUCACAAUCAUGGCAGAAGGCGAAUGAGGAGCAAAGUUAUGCCUUCUAAGGUGGCAGGCAAGAGGGCAUGUUCAGGGGAACUCCCCUUUAUAAAACCAUCAGAUCUCAUGAGUCUAAUUCACUAUCACAAGCACACCAUGGGAAAGACCCACCCCAUGAUUCAAUCACCUUCCACCCGGGUCCCUCCCACACAAUGGAAAUUAUGGGAGCUACAGUUCAAGAUGAGAUUUGGGUGGGGACACAGAGACAAACCAAAUCAAUUUUAGAGUUACUUUCCCUCAUUCUACAAAUGCUUCCUAGUAUUCCCUGACUCAUGUUCUUUCUCUCUCACUCCCACUGUCUGGGAUGGUACCUCAGAGAGUGAGAAAAAUAAGACUUAGAAAAAUUAAGUGAUGGCAAGAACUUGAACCAUGUUUCCUGACUUCCAUAUCAGAGCUUGAAGUUCUCUGCAUUAAAAAAAAAAAACUAUAUACAUUUGAACUAUUUAAUCAUGUGAAAGGAAUAUUCAUCAUCUUUAUGGGGUGAUGUUAUCCUCUAAAAGUUCAAGGAGAAAAAUCUCAGUGUUCUGAUCACCGUUUUUCUCCCCUGCCUUUCCAUCUGCUGUCUCUGAACCAGUGACUCAUAACAUUCCUUUCUAGAUGAAACAGUCUUGUGAUUAGCACCCUGGGUGUGUUCGUAUGAGUCCCGUGGGGGUACAGAAAGUACAUGUUAGAACUAUUUGCAAUUAUUUUUUAACGUAAAAAUAAGACAGAAAUGAAGCCUCAUCAGUCUCUAAUACAUGAACACAGGUGGCUCAUACAUCACAUAGGCCUCAAGUAUUUUGAGGGAGGCAUAGGAGCUUCAUGGCUAACACGAAGGGGUCAACAGUGGCACCCUUUGGGGCUCACUCGCCUUUCCUGAAUUGCAGUUCAUACAUGCCCUAUUAAGUGGAUUUAGAGAUUAUAUAAUCUAAUUUUUAACUAAACUAAUCCUCACAAAAUGGACAAUUGGCUUUAAAAGAUCCCACCAAAGGAACUGUGGAUAGAAGAUAACACUAAUUGAACAAGCACAAGUGAACAGCAAUGAUAAACAAGAAUCUGCCGAGCCGACACUUCUACCCUACUUGAGCUCUAUGUCAGCCACGAUAUAGCUCACAAAGCAGUGGUACUAGAAUCAGAUCCGGCAAGAGAUCUGCCAAAACAAUCCAAAAUUAUCAAGAGGAAAUUUAUAUCUGCUCUCUUUAAUAUAUACUUCUAAGUAUAUAUUAUGCCUUAAAGUACUAACUAAUGAGAUUUUGAAGCCAUCAUGAUUGGCAGAACAUUGAAACAUAAAACACUCAGAAUGGGAAGACAUGCCUCUAUGAGAGGGGGUUUUAAAAAGCACAAUUUUACAUAAUUUUUAGCAAAUUGAAUAAUACAUGUAUGAAGCUUUUUGAGAUUUCUUAAUAUAUGAGAACUACUUUACAUUUGCAUAAUAUAACAUCUUAUAUUAUAAAUUGAUAUAAUAUAUGACUCUUUGAAAUGUUUGCAUUAAAAAGAUUCAAUAUGUAGCUGCUGAAGUGUUUUCAAGUUCCAUGACUAUGCAGAAGUUUUUACUCUAUCUCUGACAUCACAAAAUGCUAAAUGCUGUUAUUGCCUUUCUGUUGUUAGAAGUUGUCACUGUUCAACUCUCUCUGGGGAGAUUGAUUUACCUGGGUAUACUUCUGCAAACUUCUAUAAUUCCCUAUUCAUUGACUUGAAGGUAAACUACACACUAUACAUACAGCAGUGUAUGGUAACUGUCUUUGAGAACUUUGCCAAUUAUUUUUAAAAUAUUACAAUGAGUACAGCCUUUCUGAGAAAAUCUUCAGAAGAACAAACAGUAACUCAUGAAAGAAAAGGGAUUAAAAUCCUAAUAUAUUUUGUUUAGGUUGAGUUUAUGAAAAACCAAGACGAAAAUCAACGACAAACUCCAUUCUUUAUUUAAAUAUUGCCUAUCUCCCUAAUGAACUAUUUCACUCAAUCAUUAGUAAAAAAAAAUAGUAAAAUACAAUGUUUUUUUUAAACUCUCUUCAGUUUAGAAUUUUCUGACUAGCUGUCCUUGUGCUUUCAGAUUAAUAAUGCAGUAGGAUUUCUCCUGCUCUUAUUUAUGUAGAAAGUAAAGGAAGCAUUGUAGUUUUGGUGUCACAGAUAAAAAACAUUCCAAAUCAGAAUCUAUGGAGUGUCAAAUGCUCAAAUGUAUUGACUUUCAACAUUAAGAAAACAUUAGUUUGGUUUUUAUCCAAAGUCAAAGGCUAUUUUCCUCAUUUGCCACAUGAAACUUGAACACACAUUUGUGUUCAUCUAAACAGUUCACAUUCUCUUCUCUUCAGCAUUAGAGAGAGCCAUAGAUUUAUUUUUAUGGCUGUAGAUUUUGAAAGCAUUUGUUCUUCACCCAGAACUUACCAAUUCAGAAUAUAUUUUUCUUAUCAUAUACCAUUAAUAAGAAUUUCGUUAAAAUUAAGCCCUUGACUCAAGCGUACAUUGGUAGCAUUUAGUUGUCAUGGGUAGCACCAAAUGCCUAGGCCCUGAGAACAAUGCAACGAAGUCAGUAGCAAUUCACCAACCUAAAAUAUAUGUACCCCAAAUCAACGCCACUUUAAAGAUAAACAAGCAUUUGGCACACUAAUAAAUAAUGCUGUAAAUCUUGCUAUAUUGGAUUGCAAAUAACUCCAACUGAAUAAAAUUGCAUGACACAGGAUUUACUUAUUCUGCACAUUCAUAAAAACAACUUGUUCCCUGACAGCACUCAUUCUUGGCAAUUUACCACAGCUGUCAGCAGCCAAUUUGUUCAGAUUACUGCUCUGCAUAAAAGUGUAACAAUCAUGGGGAUUUAUUAGCUGAUUAUCGUAAAGGGGGCAGUCCGUCUUGCCUGCCAAAAUGCAGGUGAUCAGAAAGUUAAAUAAUUACAUGCAGAUUAACAUUAUUUCACCUUCACUUGAAAUUUGUAGUUCAGUGACAGGUAAAAUUUGUUGUUCAAACUUGCAAUAUGGUGUGCAUCACCUAAGUUAGUUUACCGAGUACUUGGCAUUUUACUGAGCACUCCAUGGCUCCAGGACAACAUGCUGAAUACAAGAGUGUGAUGAAAUAAGCAUGGACUUUAGAUUGAUCUGGAUUUGAGCCUCAGAUCAAUCACUCCACUGGCUGAGCAACCUCUUAACUGCCCUCAGCCUCACUAUUUGCAUCUGCAAAAUUGGUAUAAUAUGAACCACCCCUGCUACCCCAGAGUGUAAAGCUAAUGUGUAUAAUAGGGCCCUGCAGGUUGUAAAGCAUUAUUAUUAUUGUUUCUUUCCAUUUAUGGUAAAUUUACUUUUGUGUAAAGUUUUACAACCAGACAGCUCCGUAGAUAUCAUGAUGAUGAAAAGUUAUAGUAAGUGUCUUGGUAAAUGUAUAGCCUACUUUUCCCCCAAAUAUGGCCAUUUAUUAUUACUGAAGUAUAAAGAUUAUUCAGACACUUUUAUACUUUAACUAAUUCAUUCUUCUCUUUUGCAUUAUAUUCAAUUACCUUUCCACAGUUACACUGAAACUUUCUUACCUUCAACUAAGUCAUGUUGUUCUAAUUGCCUUUCCAUUAAUGCCUGGUGUCAGAUCAGCAUUUGUCUGACAAAGAGCCAUAAUUUCCAGUGUUAAAUCAAGCUUCAGGGAUUUAUAUUCAAACCCAGGAAAUAUUUACUGAGUGCUUGGUGCCAGAUACUUGUUUAGGUAUGGAGUAUGUUGCAGUGAACAAAACACUCAAAAAAUCCCUGCCCUCGUGGAGCUUACAUUCUAAUGAGGGAAAAUAAAUGAUAACAUAAAUAAGAUGCAUAGUUUGCCAUAUGGUGGUUGCUUUAAUGGAGAAAAACAGAGCAGAAUAGAGGAAUGGAAUGCCAAGAAAAGCAGGUUCAAUUUUAAAUAGGCUUGGUAUGGACGCCUCCCUGAUGAGACAUUGGUGCACAGAUCUAAAGAAGAUGAAGAAGCAAGGCAGGUGAGUGGAUCCCUGAAGAAAGUUAGAUAGAGGGAAAGGUCCUGAGGUGGGAGGGUGUCUGGUAUGCCUUGAGGAACAGCAAAGAGGCCAGCUGGCUGAAAGUGAAUGAAGGACGGGGAUAGGCAGAAUAGCAGAAGUUCAUAGUAGACAAGCAACAAGGCCAGAUUGUGCAAAGUCUUAUAGGCCACUGAAGGGACUGUGGCUGUCCCUAGAUUAUGAUGCAAAACAAUUAAAGGAUUUGGAACAGAGGAGUUAAGUUACUUUAUUUUUGUUUUAAAAAUAUUACUCUGGCUGCUAAUUGGAAACAGACUGUUGUGGGAGGGGAGGUGUGGAAGGAAGAACAGGAGGCUGUUGCUACUGUCCAUAUGAAAGCUGAUGGUGGCUUUGACCACAAUGAUAAUGAUAGAGAUGAUGAGCGGUCGAGAAUCCUCAAUAUGUUUUGAAGAAAAAUUAUCAGGUUGCUGAUUGAUUUGAUGAGAGUGAGAGAAAGAAAGGAAUCAAACAUGGUUCCACGAUUUUUGGUGUUAGCAACAAACAAGAGAAGGCUGAAGGAGGAGCAGAUGUGUGGGACUGAAGGUUAGAAGUUUAGCUUUGCACAUUCUAAAUUGGAGAAAUCUAUUAGACUUUCAAAUAGUGAUAUCAAGUAGGCAGUGCAAUAUAGGAAUCUGGAAUGCAGAGAAGAGUUAUGGAGUGGAGCUGGACUCUUGUGAAUCAAUGAAGUCACCAUGGGAGCCAGUAUAGAUGAAGAAGAUGCCCAAAGAGUGAGCUCCGAGGCUUUCCAGAACUACAACAUGAGGGGAUGAGGAAAAACCUGCAAAGGAGACAAGAAAGAGCAUGCAGUGAGGUAAGAAAAAAACAAGGAGCAUGCGGUGUCCUGGAAGGCAAGCGAAAAAUGUGUUUUAAGGUAAGGAAGGGGUCAGCUAAAUCCAGUACUGCUGCUGGGUCAGGUUAGACGAAGGUUGAAAACUGGUCAUUGAAUUGAACAAUGUGGUGGGCUUGGG
rnacentral:lncRNA from 1 species